UUUUUUUUUUCUCUUUGCCUCUACUUUUCCCUUUAUCUUUUAUUUGUCAUGCCUCCCCUGCUCCUCCCUUCCUGAUAGCUGUUUGCUUUAAGUCAUCUUCAAAUCUUCCAACCUUUUACCAAGUUAAUUGCAUUGUUUCCUGCAUGAGUGAUUGGAACAGCCUCUAAUUCCCUAUCUUCAUCUCCUUAGAUAAAGUGUUGGCUGAUUUUAUGCCAAAAUGAAAGCUUUUUACAAUAUAACCUCGACCAACCUUUCUUCCUUCAACUAUUGGCAUCUACCACAUUCAUCCGCUACAACAGCCACAUCUAAUUGUCCCCAAACUACCCAUGAAAUUUAACAUGUGGUAUCUUUCCUUAUGCAGUUUCCUCAGCCUAAAAGGUCUCUCCCUUUUGUAACUAGUGAAUUCUUCAAGUCCUCCUGCCACCUUUUUGACCCCAUUCCAGGCAGAAUAAUACCCGUAACAUGUUGAAGCCUGAAUCUUGGAAAUUUGAGGGGAAGGCUAAUCUGGCCAUUGGUGCUUGAUGAGAGCUGUGGGCUUGCUGCCUCUGGGACAGACAGCAGUGUGGAAGGGGAAAGAGAAGAAACGUUGAACUGUUAGGGGCUGAAGUAUGUUGCCUCCAAAUUCAUAUGGUAGAGCCCUAACCCCCAUGACUUCAAAAUGUAAUUAUAUUUGGAGUUAGGGUCUUCUAAAAGGUGUUUUAGUUAAAAUGAUACAAUUAGGGUGGACUUUCCAAUCUGACUGGUGCCCUUAUACAAAGAGGAAAUUUGGACCAGGGAUGUAGGUGCACAGAGAAAAGCCCAUAUGAGGACAGAGCAAGAAUGUGGCCAUCUGCUAGCCAAGGAGAGAGGCCACAUAAGAAACGAAACCUGCCCACACCUUGAUCUGGGACUUCUGACUUUCAGAACCAUGAGAAAGUAAAUUUCGUUGUUUAAGCUUCUAGUCUAUGGUAUUUUGUUAUGGCGGCCCAAGCAUACUGGUACAUAUUAUAUCCUAGUGUGUUCCGAGUACUGGACUAUGCACUGGGGAUACAACAAUGGACACAAUAGACAUAUUUCUUGCACCCUUAGAAGAUGUAGUCUAGGCUGGGCAUGGUGGCUCAUGCCUGUAAUCCCAGCACUUUGGGAGGCCGAGGCGGGUGGAUCAUGAGGUCAAGAGAUCGAGACCAUUCUGGCCAACAUGGUGAAACCCCGUCUUUACUAAAAAUACAAAAAUUAGCUGGGCGUGGUGGCACACACUUAUAGUCCCAGCUACUCAGGAGGCUGAGGCAGGAGAAUGGCUUGAACCUGGGAGGUGGAGAUUGCCCUGAGCCAAGAUUGUGCCACUGCAUUCCAGCCUGGCAAUAGAGCAAGACUCUGUCUCAAAAAAAAAAAAAAAAAAAAAAAAAAA
rnacentral:lncRNA from 1 species